rnacentral:rRNA from 1 species
GCUGAACUUAAGCAUAUCAAUAAGCGGAGGAAAAGAAACCAACAGGGAUUGCCCUAGUAACGGCGAGUGAAGCGGCAACAGCUCAAAUUUGAAAUCUGGCGCAAGCCCGAGUUGUAAUUUGUAGAGGAUGCUUCUAGGUAGCGACCGGUCUAAGUUCCUUGGAACAGGACGUCAUAGAGGGUGAGAAUCCCGUAUGUGACCGGCCCGCACCUUCUACGUAGCUCCUUCGACGAGUCGAGUUGUUUGGGAAUGCAGCUCUAAAUGGGAGGUAAAUUUCUUCUAAAGCUAAAUACCGGCCAGAGACCGAUAGCGCACAAGUAGAGUGAUCGAAAGAUGAAAAGCACUUUGGAAAGAGAGUUAAAAAGCACGUGAAAUUGUUGAAAGGGAAGCGCUCACAACCAGACUUCUGGGCGGUGUUCCGCCGGUCUUCUGACCGGUCUACUCGCCGUCCCGAGGCCAACAUCAUCUGGGACCGCCGGAUAAGACCUCAGGAAUGUGGCUCCCCUCGGGGAGUGUUAUAGCCUGUGGUGAUGCGGCGCGUCUCGGGUGAGGUCCGCGCUUCGGCAAGGAUGUUGGCGUAAUGGUUGUCAGCGGCCCGUCUUGAAACACGGACCAAGGAGUCUAACAUCUAUGCGAGUGUUCGGGUGUCAAACCCCUACGCGUAAUGAAAGUGAACGGAGGUGGGAAGCGCAAGCUGCACCAUCGACCGAUCCUGAUGUCCUCGGAUGGAUUUGAGUAAGAGCAUAGCUGUUGGGACCCGAAAGAUGGUGAACUAUGCCUGAAUAGGGUGAAGCCAGAGGAAACUCUGGUGGAGGCUCGCAGCGGUUCUGACGUGCAAAUCGAUCGUCAAAUUUGGGUAUAGGGGCGAAAGACUAAUCGAACCAU